GAUGAACGCUGGCGGCGUGCCUAAUACAUGCAAGUCGAGCGAAUGGAUUAAGAGCUUGCUCUUAUGAAGUCAGCGGCGGACGGGUGAGUAACACGUGGGUAACCUGCCCAUAAGACUGGGAUAACUCCGGGAAACCGGGGCUAAUACCGGAUAACAUUUUGAACCGCAUGGUUCGAAAUUGAAAGGCGGCUUCGGCUGUCACUUAUGGAUGGACCCGCGUCGCAUUAGCUAGUUGGUGAGGUAACGGCUCACCAAGGCAACGAUGUGUAGCCGACCUGGGAGGGUGAUCGGCCACACUGGGACUGAGACACGGCCCAGACUCCUACGGGAGGCAGCAGUAGGGAAUCUUCCGCAAUGGACGAAAGUCUGACGGAGCAACGCCGCGUGAGUGAUGAAGGCUUUCGGGUCGUAAAACUCUGUUGUUAGGGAAGAACAAGUGCUAGUUGAAUAAGCUGGCACCUUGACGGUACCUAACCAGAAAGCCACGGCUAACUACGUGCCAGCCGCCGCGGUAA
rnacentral:rRNA from 1 species